AGGAGAAGGUGGAGUUGCCAUCUUGAAUAAUAAUAAUAACUCGGAAAAAAACAAAUAAUAAUAAUCGCACAUUCAUUCUCUGCUGCCUUUCUCUCUCUAUCCUAUUUAAAAUAGAGAGCGCACGCGCACAUGCCCGUCACAACACGCCAUACUUCUUCUUCCUUACGAACAGCAAUGCUUGUAAUGCAAUAAUAACCCCUCCCACUUUCACAACAUCCUCAUUAGGUGUCUGACUUUUUGUGUUUGGGUGUGUUACAGCUUUCCAAAGUGGAAGUAAAAAAAGAGACAAUCCAAGGUGAAAAGGUGGAUCAGGCGGGCAAAAAAAAAUUAUGGUUUCUAUGGACUCAAUACAGUAUCGAAUGCAACAGCAAAGCGGUAGUUCCAACGAUUAUGUUCUGUUAAUAUGGACGUCGGAAAUGUCGAUAAAAUAAUGGAAAUCGUCGAGUUGGACCAACAUUUGCAACUGUCCCUGGCUACAAAGACUACGAUUGAUGUAACCUAUAAAAGGAUUCAAACAUAGCCGACAUAUGUUGUUAAAUUUCUGAGUGUCUGAGUCUUAGAAGAUCUGAGUAAUUGAACUAAAAGCAAAAAGUGGUGUAACUAUUCCAGAUCUCCUCUACGGGAAACAUGAACAGUUAAAAUGAAAAUCUUAACAGAAUAUUUUCUUAUUUUUCCCCGCCUAUUAUCAUCGUGGAACAACAACACCUUGUUCCCCCUCCUAUACUUUUAUCCUAGACUUUAUGGAGCCUAGCAAGGUCAGGGAAUCUUUCAAAUCUUUUAGCCCACUUAAAAGUGCAGGACCGGAUGGAUUUAAACCAGUUGUUCUACAACAGCUUGAGAAUGCCAUAAUCUCAUACAUUUCAAAACUUUGUAAAAUUAUUCUAAACACUCGAUACACGCCAAGGAGUUGGCGAGAAAUGAAAGUGAGUUAUCUGCCAAAACCUGGCAAAAGUGAUAUCAGCACGGCAAGAUCCUAAUAUCGCAAAUUUUAUACAUAAAGGACUUGAAAUAAUCGUAAAAUGGAAAAAUGACGAAGUUAAUACAAGUGGAACGUACAAUGUGGGGGUUGAUGAGCCACAAAGUGCAGACAACCUCAUCAAUAGAUGGGACAUCUAUCUCUCAUAUGAGAGACGUCAAACAAUACAAAAAGAAGACGAAGAACUUCGUAUUUUAAAAUUUAUGAAAUGUACAAUGAUGAAAAAAAUUAUUGAAAAUAACUUUAAAAUCAAAUAGGUUUAAGGAACUGCUGUAGUAUCACAUAUACCCCUUUGUGUGGUCGUCUUCAUUGCCUUAUGUUUGUAUUAUUUUAUUAUAGUGCAAUAAAUUAUACUUAA
rnacentral:lncRNA from 1 species